UUGAAAUUAUUGUAAUUUCAAAAUUUUGCCUUGUGUGUUCAAAAAAACAUUUUGUCUUAAAUUAUAGUGUUUAACUCAUUUUAAGUAAAAUGUAAAAUUGCAUUUACAACAGUACAAUCGGAAAGAGAUAGAUUUUCGUUUAUUUUUCGUACAGAUAUGCAACGUGAUAAGAAUUAUGAUGAAUACAAACUCGAAAUGGUUUUGCUUCGGGCAACGUCGACAGCGGCGAGAAGUCUACUCGAUCGGUGGUGGAAAUCGGAUUCUUGGCGUCUCUUGAUCAAAUCAAAGUUCAUAAAGAACUCAAGUCGGAUGCAUGUAUAUUGAACAGUAGUAGUAGAAUCAAUUGUCACGUGAUGAAUUAUGAACGCUAUGAAAAUUACUCUAAAAUUGGCUGUCCUUACAGGUCGGUACGGAGUAAUGUGGCAUGUUGCGGUCUACAAGACAAAUAUAUGCGAGUAAAUAGAGCACGGGGAGUACCAAGUCAGAAUGACAGGAUAUGAUGCAGCGUGGCUCUACGAGAGUCUCUCCCAUCUUAGAUGAUGCUUACCUUAAUAAAAUUAGACUAAUAUAUCUACACAACACCUGGUUAUUUUACAAAACAUUUUUUAAAUGAAACAAUCUAAUUUCAAACGAUUAAAUAUUCAAAAGCCAUUCAAACAAUUUACGACCAAGGAUGCUACGGCGUUAUCACAAGAUGAUAAGACGUCAAACGGACAAGUACGAUCUGCAAACUACUCAAAACACUACGAUUCAGCUACAAACAAAUUUCAAAGCCGCCUGUCUAACUUAUUUAAUUCCUGUUUUUAUUUAACAAAUUAAAUUAAUGACUUGCAUUUUAUACUCA